rnacentral:rRNA from 1 species
GAUGAACGCUGGCGGCGUGCUUAAUACAUGCAAGUCGAGCGAACAGACGAUGAGCUUGUUCCUCUGACGUUAGCGGCGGACGGGUGAGUAACACGUGUAUAAUCCACUUAUAAUUCUGGUAUCACUUCGGGAAACCGGCGCUUAUACGGGAGAAGAUAUUGAAGCGUGUGGGUCAAUGGUGAAAUACGGUUUUUCUGUCACUUAUCGCUGGAUCCGCGCCGCAUUAGCUAGUUGGUAAUUUAACGGCUUACCGCGGCUACGGUGCGUAGCCGGCCUGACAGGGUGACCGGCCAGACUGGGUCAGCGACCCGAUUCAGACUCAUACGGGGGGCAGCAGUAGGGAAUCGUCCGCAAUGGGCGAAAGCCUGACAGGGCAACGCCGCGUGAGUAAUGAAGGUCUUCGGAUCAUAAAGCUCUGUGAUUAGGAAAGCACAAAUGUGUAAGUAACUAUGCGCGUCUUGACGGUACCUAAUGAGAAAGCCACGGCUAACUAC